rnacentral:lncRNA from 1 species
UCAGGACGUGAUGGCACCACCUCGACGUUCAGCGAGAUCCGCUCCGGCAUUGCCUACUGAGGUGCCCGAGCAAUCUGGAUCGGAUGAAGUGCGUGAGUUGCGAGCCCAAGUGGCGGCUUUGGCCGGGGCUAUGCAGUGGCAGGAGAAGCAGAUCGGGAGGCUCCAUGAGUUGGUGGCACGACAGGCGGCGGCGGUUACACUUGUACCUUAGGACCCGCCCGCACCUGUGGCACCUAUUCCUGCGGUGGCGGCUGCUACGGUGACGGCUAUUCCUCCGACGGCUUCGGGUUCUUCGGCUCUUGAUCUAAUACACUUGAGGCCGAGAAGAAGCGGUCGUUGGCGGUGUUGACGGCCCUUAAGCGGUUCAACCCUCCGACUUUCAAUCGUGA